GUAAAAACAUUAAGUGCACCGCCUGGGGAGUACGGUCGCAAGGCUAAAACUCAAAGGAAUUGACGGGAGCUCACACAAGCGGUGGAGCAUGUGGCCUAAUUCGAAGCAACGCGAAGAACCUUAUCCAGGGUUUGACAUGCACGGAUUACUGAUCUGAAAGGUGACGGACGCUCGCAAGAGUGGAACGUGCACAGGUGCUGCAUGGCUGUCGUCAGCUCGUGCUGUGAAGUGUCGGGUUAAGUCCCUUAACGAGCGAAACCCCUGUCGCUAGUUGCCAUCGGUUCGGCCGGGGACUCUAGCGAGACUGCCGGUGUCAAACCGGAGGAAGGUGGGGACGACGUCAAGUCCUCAUGGCCUUUAUGCCCUGGGCUGCACACGUGCUACAAUGCCGACUACAGAGCGACGCAAGGCCGCAAGGCGGAGCAAAUCGCAAAAAAGUCGGCUCAGUUCGGAUUGCGGUCUGCAACUCGACCGCAUGAAGCUGGAAUCGCUAGUAAUCGCGUAUCAGCUACGACGCGGUGAAUACGUUCCUGAGCUUUGUACACACCGCCCGUCAAGUCAUGGGAGCCGGGAGCACCCAAAGUCGCCCCAAUUCAGGGGUGCCUACGGUGAACUCGGUGACUGGGGCU
rnacentral:rRNA from 1 species